rnacentral:rRNA from 1 species
AGCGAACGCUGGCGGCAGGCCUAACACAUGCAAGUCGAACGAACCUUUCGGGGUUAGUGGCGGACGUGGGAGUAACACGUGGGAACGUGCCUUUAGGUUCGGAAUAACUCAGGGAAACUUGUGCUAAUACCGAAUGUGCCCUUCGGGGGAAAGAUUAAUCGCCUUUAGAUCGGCCCGCGUCUGAUUAGCUAGUUGGUUGAGGAAAUGGCUCACCAAGGCGACGAGCAGUAGCUGGUCGGAAAGGAGGAUAAGCCACAUUGGGACUGAGACACGGUCCAAAAUGCUACGCGAGGGAGCGGUGGGGAAUAUAGCGGAAUGAGCGAAAGCCUGACGCAGCCAUGUCGCGUGAAUGAUGAAGGUCUUAGGAUUGUAAAAUUCUUUCACCGGAGACGAUAAUGACGGUACCCGGAGAAGAAGCCCCGGCUAACUUCGUG